UUGGAGCAAGUCACUUCAUUAAUCUGUGCCUUAGUUUCCCCAUUGCCUCCUUUGUGAAGUGCUUUGAGAUCUACUGAUGAAAAAUACUAUCUAAGAGCUAGGCAUUAUCAUUAUUCCACAUUAAGCAGUGGAAGCCCCCAACUUCAACUUGCAUAUUGUGAAAGCUAGACCUAAAUAAUAUUCAAUUAUGACAACAAUCAGUAGGCUUCCCUGGCUCUGGUAGUAUAAUUCACACCACUGGACAGGGAGAAGAUUCUGAACCGUUCUGCAAAUGGUAAACCAUUCACCUCACCAGAUGGUACACCAUUCACCUCACUAAACGAAGACUAUCUAAAAUAUGCAAUUGAUGAUGUAAUCAAUCUAGAAAAACUGACCAAAGAUAUUGAAUAUGAUGGCUUUUACACACCAGAGGACUUUUCAAAUGAGGAGCGCAGAAUGGAGGCCUUGAGCGUUUAUAUGGCUGAAAUGAACACUUUAAAAGAGGAAAGCCAAAACAAUGAUACGGUUAAUAAUAUUGAUCGUAUCAUGAAAUAUCUUGGUGCUUCUGUG